rnacentral:lncRNA from 1 species
UCAAUCUCUAGCUAGGGGUUUACUUGAAGUUCACAUGAAUACGGAUUUAAAGAGGUCGACUCAUUUACUUGCAAGUGAAUAACUAAUUAUCAAUGUUUCUUAGCGUAAUUUGACAAAAUUGAACCUUUUUGGCUGCAAAAAGUGAAUUGUUAUUUCACUAUUUCACUUUCAUUAUUGAUUGAACAGAAAAAAAUCAAACUUUAGAUUUUUUAUAUAUCUCGUAGCUAGUGCCCCUUUAAUAAUGU